rnacentral:rRNA from 1 species
AGCGAACGUUUGCGGCGGGCUUAACACAUGCAAGUCGAACGGGCUGUUCCUUCGGGGGCAGUCAGUGGCGCACGGGUGCGUAACACGUAGGUAAUCAACCCUCUGGUUGGGGAUAACACUUCGAAAGGAGUGCUAAUACCCGGUAUGGCGCAGCGGUCUUCGGAUCGCGGCGAGAAAGACCCGCAAGGGUUGCCAGAGGACGAGCCUGCGGCCCAUCAGCUAGUUGGCGAGGUAACGGCUCACCAAGGCGAAGACGGGUAGCUGGUCUGAGAGGAUGAUCAGCCACACUGGAACUGAGACACGGUCCAGACUCCUACGGGAGGCAGCAGUGGGGAAUAUUGCGCAAUGGGCGAAAGCCUGACGCAGCCACGCCGCGUGAGCGAUGAAGGCCUCGGUC